rnacentral:rRNA from 1 species
AGAGUUUGAUCCUGGCUCAGAGUGAACGCUGGCGGUAGGCCUAACACAUGCAAGUCGAACGGCAGCACAGAGGAGCUUGCUCCUUGGGUGGCGAGUGGCGGACGGGUGAGGAAUACAUCGGAAUCUACUCUGUCGUGGGGGAUAACGUAGGGAAACCUUACGCUAAUACCGCAUACGACCUACGGGUGAAAGCAGGGGAUCUUCGGACCUUGCGCGAUUGAAUGAGCCGAUGUCGGAUUAGCUAGUUGGCGGGGUAAAGGCCCACCAAGGCGACGAUCCGUAGCUGGUCUGAGAGGAUGAUCAGCCACACUGGAACUGAGACACGGUCCAGACUCCUACGGGAGGCAGCAGUGGGGAAUAUUGGACAAUGGGCGCAAGCCUGAUCCAGCCAUACCGCGUGGGUGAAGAAGGCCUUCGGGUUGUAAAGCCCUUUUGUUGGGAAAGAAAUCCAGCCGGUUAAUACCUGGUUGGGAUGACGGUACCCAAAGAAUAAGCACCGGCUAACUUCGUGCCAGCAGCCGCGGUAAUACGAAGGGUGCAAGCGUUACUCGGAAUUACUGGGCGUAAAGCGUGCGUAGGUGGUCGUUUAAGUCCGUUGUGAAAGCCCUGGGCUCAACCUGGGAACUGCAGUGGAUACUGGGCGACUAGAGUGUGGUAGAGGGUAGCGGAAUUCCUGGUGUAGCAGUGAAAUGCGUAGAGAUCAGGAGGAACAUCCAUGGCGAAGGCAGCUACCUGGACCAACACUGACACUGAGGCACGAAAGCGUGGGGGCAAACAG